rnacentral:rRNA from 1 species
AGAACUUAGCAGAGAUGCUUUGGUGCCUUCGGGAACUCUGAGACAGGUGCUGCAUGGCUGUCGUCAGCUCGUGUUGUGAAAUGUUGGGUUAAGUCCCGCAACGAGCGCAACCCUUAUCCUUUGUUGCCAGCGGUUAGGCCGGGAACUCAAAGGAGACUGCCAGUGAUAAACUGGAGGAAGGUGGGGAUGACGUCAAGUCAUCAUGGCCCUUACGAGUAGGGCUACACACGUGCUACAAUGGCGCAUACAAAGAGAAGCGACCUCGCGAGAGCAAGCGGGACCUCAUAAAGUGCGUCGUAGUCCGGAUUGGAGUCUGCAACUCGACUCCAUGAAGUCGGAAUCGCUAGUAAUCGUGGAUCAGAAUGCCACGGUGAAUACGUUCCCGGGCCUUGUACACACCGCCCGUCACACCAUGGGAGUGGGUUGCAAAAGAAGUAGGUAGCUUAACCUUCGGGAGGGCGCUUACCACUUUGUGAUUCAUGACUGGGGUGAAGUCGUAACAAGGUAAGCGUAGUGCU